CAGCAGCUCCACUUUCCUUUUAUCCGCCACCACGCCAAGCCAUCUCGGCGAAGGACAAGGCUCGGGCUGCCGCCACCGCCUCUGCCCCGGCUAUAAAGGCGCGCCCUUUGGCCGGCCGCUCCUCCUCCUCCUCUCUUCCUCCGCGCCGCGCCUCUCGCCUGCUCGCCGCGCUCUGCCCGGUCUGCUCCUCCUCCUCCUCGUCCGGGCGGUGCCUCUCUCCUCCGACCUCCCCGCCGCGCUCCGGCCGGUAGGAUAUAGACAAAUGUCACAUUUGCUCUUCCUUGUGUUGCUAAGGACACUAAUGGGUAGGGUUUGCUUACCGCGCAGGACCGAUAAUUCUGAUAGUAGCUGAUAGUAUGCCAAGGACUGCUCAGGGUUCCUAUCACUUUCUGUUUUACCAGCUAAGAAUCCAGGGUGGAUGGAGGCUUUCAUGAUGGCUAAUUUGAUUUGUAAUGGUUCUGAUGGUGUGCUUCUUGUGUUUGAACUAAAGCCGUGGAUCACUCAUCAACCUGCUGAAUUAUUUCCGGAUAGGACAGAGGUGCAAUGUUUACAUACUUGGCAGAAGGUUCUUUAACACUGAACUCGUCAAAGGUCCUUGGACUCAAGAGGAAGAUGACAAAAUUAUUGACCUUGUAAACAAGUAUGGACUAACAAAAUGGUCGCAUUGCAAGGUCAGCUACCAGAACUUCCUACUGCUGAUCCUGGAAUGUUUCCGAACAUGCUCCCGAACAUGUUCAAUUUAUCAGCCCUAGGACAGCCACUGCCAUGACAUAGCAGGCUACUCGGCAUGCUCGGCGUGUUUAGGUCGGCGGACUUCCUCCGAUCGCUAAUAAACAGACGGUUGCUCUAUUCUUCAAUCAAGUUAUGGCUGCUAUCGGGGGAAACACAGUUGGUCUGGGUGAUGUAGUUCUUAAUACGAAGCUGAUUUUUGAAUUCAUUCAAAACAUCUUAGGUGGCAUAAUCAUCUGAAUCCAACCAUAUGGAAUGAUGCUUGGACUACUGAGGAGGAACAUGCACUGAUUAAUGCCAUCAGGUAUAUGAGAAUAAAUGAGCAGAUAUAACAAAAGUUCUUCCUGGAAGGUACUGCCAAACAACUUAUAUCAUGGGUGUUGCUUGUAGUUAGCUUUCUGUUUGUGCCCUUCCUAUCUCUGGUGUGUGUGACUGACUGUGCGUGUGACUGUCUGUGUAUGUGUGACUGAUUCUGUGUGACUGUUAUUUUGUGUGUGUGUGUGUGU